UUUGGUUUGUUACGGGUGGUUGGCUCUUUGCUUGCGCAACAACUGCCACCUGACUUACCUCUUCAGAUGUUUGCCUAGGCUUCUAUAGCCUAUGCAGAUUGUGGGUUUCCUGUGUUGCCUACCUACGUCACGGAAUUCUCCUGAUUGAUCAAAGUUGCUUUCGUCUUGUGUCGUCUCGAUGGCAUAAGAUGAACAAUGAAGCUGUCUCUUUGCACCGCAUCGUUAAUGCAUGCGUUGAUGUUGUGGCCCAUUGAGCAUUGCUUGGUACCUUGGAUACGGAACCUUAUGUGGGCAUGGGUCCUUGGGGAUCCUUGUUUUGCCCUUGUUUAGCGUUCGCGCUUCUCUUAGAAUGACUGCCCAGCCGGAAUGGUAAAGCCAUUGUGGAUGGGCAUCGUCAAAGAGGAAUGC
rnacentral:misc_RNA from 1 species